UGGGGAAUAUUGCACAAUGGGCGCAAGCCUGAUGCAGCCAUGCCGCGUGUGUGAAGAAGGCCUUCGGGUUGUAAAGCACUUUCAGCGAGGAGGAAGGUGGUGAGCUUAAUACGCUCAUCAAUUGACGUUACUCGCAGAAGAAGCACCGGCUAACUCCGUGCCAGCAGCCGCGGUAAUACGGAGGGUGCAAGCGUUAAUCGGAAUUACUGGGCGUAAAGCGCACGCAGGCGGUUUGUUAAGUCAGAUGUGAAAUCCCCGGGCUCAACCUGGGAACUGCAUUUGAAACUGGCAAGCUAGAGUCUCGUAGAGGGGGGUAGAAUUCCAGGUGUAGCGGUGAAAUGCGUAGAGAUCUGGAGGAAUACCGGUGGCGAAGGCGGCCCCCCUGGACGAAGACUGACGCUCAGGUGCGAAAGCGUGGGGCAGCAAACAGGAUUAGAUACCCUGGUAGUCCAGCGCUGUAAACGAUGUCGAUUUGGAGGUUGUGCCCUUGAGGCGUGGCUUCCGGAGCUAACGCGUUAAAUCGACCGCCUGGGGGAGUACGGCCGCAAGGUUAAAACUCAAAUGAAUUGAC
rnacentral:rRNA from 1 species